AUUGAACGCUGGCGGCAGGCCUAACACAUGCAAGUCGAGCGAGCGGCGGACGGGUGAGGAAUGUAUGGGGACUGCCCGAUAGAGGGGGAUAACUACUGGAAACGGUGGCUAAUACCGCAUACUAUCGGAUAACCCAUAUGGGAUUAGCUAGUAGGUGGGGUAAAGGCGCACCUAGGCGACGAUCUCUAGCUGGUCUGAGAGGAUGAUCAGCCACACUGGAACGGAGACACGGCCCAGACUCCACCGGAGGAGGCAUAGGGGAAUAUUGCACAAUGGGCGCAAGCCUGAUGCAGCAAUGCCGCGUGUAUGAAAAAGGCCUUAGGGUGUUAAAGUACUUUCAGCGGGGAGGCGUUACCCGCAGAAGAAGCACCGGCUAACUCCGUGCCAGCAGCCGCGGUAAUUC
rnacentral:rRNA from 1 species